rnacentral:rRNA from 1 species
UACGUAGGGGGCAAGCGUUGUCCGGAAUCAUUGGGCGUAAAGCGCGCGUAGGCGGCCCGGUAAGUCCGCUGUGAAAGUCCAGGGCUCAACCCUGGAAAGCCGGUGGAUACUGCCGGGCUAGAGUCCGGGAGAGGCGAGUGGAAUUCCUGGUGUAGCGGUGGAAUGCGCAGAUAUCAGGAGGAACACCUAAGGCGAAGGCAGCUCGCUGGAACGGUACUGACGCUGAGGCGCGAAAGCGUGGGGAGCAAACAGG